CCAAUAGCGUAUAUUAAAGUUGUUGCAGUUAAAAAGCUCGUAGUUGAAUUUCGGAAUCAGUGCGCUGGUCGUGCCUCUGGUAUGCACUGGUGUUACUGAUUUCUCCCUUCUGAAGAACUAUCAUGCCAUUAAUUUGGUGUGGUAGGGAAUCAGGACUGUUACUUUGAAAAAAUUAGAGUGUUUAAAGCAGGCUCACGCUUGAAUACAUUAGCAUGGAAUAAUGAAAUAGGACGUUGAUCUUAUUUUGUUGGUUUCUAGGAUUGACGUAAUGAUUAAUAGGGAUAGUUGGGGGCAUUAGUAUUCAAUUGUCAGAGGUGAAAUUCUUGGAUUUAUUGAAGACUAACUACUGCGAAAGCAUUUGCCAAGGAUGUUUUCAUUAAUCAAGAACGAAAGUUAGGGGAUCGAAGACGAUCAGAUACCGUCGUAGUCUUAACCAUAAACUAUGCCGACUAGGGAUCGGAUGAUGUUAAUUUUUUAAUGACUCAUUCGGCGCCUUACG
rnacentral:rRNA from 1 species